rnacentral:rRNA from 1 species
AGCGAACGCUGGCGGCAGGCUUAACACAUGCAAGUCGAGCGCCCGUACACAAUACGGGAGCGGCAGACGGGUGAGUAACACGUGGGAACGUACCCUUCAGUUCGGAACAACCCAGGGAAACUUGGGCUAAUACCGGAUACGUCCGUAAGGAGAAAGAUUUAUCGCUGAAGGAUCGGCCCGCGUCUGAUUAGCUAGUUGGUGGGGUAAUGGCCCACCAAGGCGACGAUCAGUAGCUGGUCUGAGAGGAUGAUCAGCCACACUGGGACUGAGACACGGCCCAGACUCCUACGGGAGGCAGCAGUGGGGAAUAUUGGACAAUGGGCGCAAGCCUGAUCCAGCAAUGCCGCGUGGGUGAAGAAGGUCUUCGGAUUGUAAAGCCCUUUCGGCGGGGACGAUGAUGACGGUACCCGCAGAAGAAGCCCCGGCUAACUUC